rnacentral:miRNA from 12 species
UCAUUAAAACCAUCAAUAUAUG